CAAACACAACAUUGUCCGCCAGAGAACUACAAGCGAAAAACUCAAAACUCCAAGGACUUGGCGGUGCUCCAUACCAACCUAGAGGAGCCUGUCCUAUAAUCGAUACCCCACGUUGAACCUUACCACUUUUAGCCCUCCAGCCUAUAUACCGCCGUCGUCAGCCUACCUUAUGAAAGAAAUGAAGUAGACAAAAUAGUUAACAACUAACACGUCAGGUCAAGGUGUAGCACAUGAGGUGGAAGAGAUGGGCUACAUUUUCUACUGUAGAACACACGAAUGACACAGUGAAACACUAAUCUAAAGGCGGAUUUAGUAGUAAGAUAAAUAAGCAACACCAUCUUAAACCAGCUCUGGAGCGCGCACACACCGCCCGUCACCCUCAUCAU
rnacentral:rRNA from 1 species